ACUUUGGUUUCCCGGAAACUGCCCGCCGAGUCAUUUGAGUAACUCAGGCGGAUCGCUGGUUGGCAUCGUUUAUGGUCAGAACUAGGGCGGUAUCUGAUCGCCUUCGAACCUCUGACUUUCGUUCUUGAUCAAUGAAAACAUUCUUGGCAAAUGCUUUCGCAGUAGUUCGUCUUGCGACGGUCCAAGAAUUUGACCUCUAGCGCCGCAAUACGAAUGCCCCCGUCCGUCCCUUUAAUCAUUACCUCGUAUUCCAAAAACCAACAGAACAGAAACGAGGUCUUGUUCUAUUAUUCCAUGCAAGUUUAUUCAGGCGACUCGCCUGCGUUGAGCACCUAAAAAGUAAAAGCUCGUAGUUGGAUCUCAGUUCCAGACGAGUAGUGCAUCUACCCGAUGCGACGGCUCGGACUGAACAUCAUGCCGGUUCUUUCUUGGUGCACUUCAUUGUGUGCCUCGAGAUGGCCGGUGCUUUUACUUUGAAAAAAUUAGAGUGCUCAACGCAGGCGAGUCGCCUGAAUAAACUUGCAUGGAAUAAUAGAACAAGACCUCGUUUCUGUUCUGUUGGUUUUUGGAAUACGAGGUAAUGAUUAAGAGGGACGGACGGGGGCAUUCGUAUUGCGGCGCUAGAGGUGAAAUUCUUGGACCGUCGCAAGACGAACUACUGCGAAAGCAUUUGCCAAGAAUGUUUUCAUUGAUCAAGAACGAAAGUCAGAGGUUCGAAGGCGAUCAGAUACCGCCCUAGUUCUGACCAUAAACGAUGCCAACCAGCGAUCCGCCUGAGUUACUCAAAUGACUCGGCGGGCAGCUUCCGGGAAACCAAAGUAUUUGGGUUCCGGGGGAAGUAUGGUUGCAAAGCUGAAACUUAAAGGAAUUGACGGAAGGGCACCACCAGGAGUGGAGCCUGCGGCUUAAUUUGACUCAACACGGGAAAACUUACCCGGCCCGGACACUGGGAGGAUUGACAGAUUGAGAGCUCUUUCUUGAUUCGGUGGAUGGUGGUGCAUGGCCGUUCUUAGUUGGUGGAGCGAUUUGUCUGGUUAAUUCCGAUAACGAACGAGACUCUAGCCUAUUAAAUAGGUGCGGGGUUCCCAGCACCUUACAACCUUCUUAGAGGGACAAGCGGCUCCUAGCCGCACGAAACAGAGCAAUAACAGGUCUGUGAUGCCCUUAGAUGUCCGGGGCCGCACGCGCGCUACACUGAAGGAAGCAGCGUGUCUUUAUCCCUGUCUGAAAAGACUGGGUAACCCGUGGAACUUCUUUCGUGAUUGGGAUAGGGGCUUGCAAUUGUUCCCCUUGAACGAGGAAUUCCCAGUAAGCGCGAGUCAUAAGCUCGCGUUGAUUACGUCCCUGCCCUUUGUACACACCGCCCGUCGCUACUACCGAUUGAAUGAUUUAGUGAGGUCUUCGGACCGAUGUCCGGCGCGGCCUUUCGGUUGCGCCGGUCUGUUGGAAAGAUGACCAAACUUGAUCAUUUAGAGGAAGUAAAAGUCGUAACAAGGUUUCCGUAGGUGAACCUGCGGAAG
rnacentral:rRNA from 1 species